rnacentral:misc_RNA from 1 species
CAGCAGGAUUUGCACCAAAGAGUUUUUCCUACUCUGGAAAUCUGCCCGCAAGGUAUUUGUUGCAUCCACCACUGCUGGACUUAAUAUCUCACUCAAUCACUCAAAGGACCAACAGCAUUCAAUCAAUUGAUUUUUGUCCUGCAACAAGCCAUGUACACAUGCUUCCAGAGCUACGCAAUUAGCUACGGCAGCAGGUGCAUUUCCCCAGAGGUGUUCAUAACUGGAACUAGCAUUGACACUAGUUUCGAUUGAUAACUGUAACUGUCAUCAAACAGAAAACAUGCCUUCCAGAGAUCACAUUUCCACUUUAAGACUUCAAAAAUAAACUAUAUGGCAGAAUUGACUCUGCUAAGCUUAUUUUCCACCAAAAGCUAUGAUCUAACCCAUUCGAAGUUUGUCUCAAACCCAUUCGAAGUUUGUCUCUUUGGGCAAAACCAAAGCAAUCAGGCAGUUGGAUGAAUCAGGUGCAAUAGAAAGCAUUGAACAGGUUUCAUGCGAGUAGGGAAGUAUGAAGAGAAGCCUUGCCCACAUGGAUUUCACAGCUGGGAUUUUAAUUACUCCAGCACAAUCCCUUUGCUUCAAGUAUGAUAUGAAGUCCUGAAAGCCUUUUUGAUCACUCACAGAAGAUGGAAUCAACAGGCACACCUCCCUUUUAUGUGGUGGAGUACUUGUAAAUGUUGAUUUCACAUGCCGAAAAUCUGUGCGUUUGGUCAUAUCUAGUUUAGAGGGCCAUUCCACAGGUUCAGAAACUGGACUUGAAUAUUUGCAAAUAUCAGAAUUAACUCUAUAUGCAUAAAUUGUGCAAUAAUGAACCCCACUUUUACAUAAUGUGCCCUGCCACUGAUAUUGCUUAGACCUUCCAGAAUUUUCCACAUCAGUUGAUUCUGAAAAGGGUGGAGGUGGAGGAGGAGCAGGUGGCGGGGAUGGUGGCAAUGGAGGGGGUAUUUCAGGCUGGGGUGGUAUAGAUGCUAAAGGUGGCGGUACAACAGGUGGAGGGGGAAGUGGCGGGGGGGGGGGGAUUUUAGGGGCAUAGAUGAUAAGGGGGGUGGAACAACAGGUAAGGAGAACAUUUGGUCAAAUUGUUGCAUUGGAGGUCUAUGUAUCUGUGCUAAUGGAGUGACAGAAGCAGGUAUAAAAGGGGGUGCAACAGUGCUACCCUGAAAGCUAUUGGGCACUACCACUGGUGAGAUUGGGUUCAAAGGAACAUGAUGAUUUGAACCUCGUGGAUCCCAUGCACUGUUUGGAGGAAGGUAAACAGGUCGGACAAAUUGAGAUGGCUGGAACUGCUGUGGUGGGAGAAUAGGUCGUCCCUGAGCUCCUAUGGGUACGCUUGGAAUGCUCCCAGGUGCAGGAUGCAACUCCAUUUCAUUUUUCUUGUACAUCCAAGUUUG